rnacentral:rRNA from 1 species
CUUCGGGUGUGUAUAAAGUGGCGAACGGCUGAGUAACACGUGGGCAACCUGCCCCUCUCAUUGGGAUAGCCACGGGAAACCGUGGAUAAUACCGAAUACUUCGAGUCUCCCGCAUGGAAGACUCGAGAAAGCUCCGGCGGAGAGGGAUGGGCCCGCGGCCUGUUAGCUUGUUGGUGGGGUAACGGCCUACCAAGGCAAUGAUGGGUAGCUGGGUUGAGAGACCGACCAGCCAGAUUGGGACUGAGACACGGCCCAGACUCCUACGGGAGGCAGCAGUGGGGAAUCUUGCACAAUGGGCGAAAGCCUGAUGCAGCGACGCCGCGUGCGGGAUGAAGGCCUUCGGGUUGUAAACCGCUUUCAGCAGGGACGAGGCGAAAGUGACGGUACCUGCAGAAGAAGCCCCGGCUAACUACGUGCCAGCAGCCGCGGUAAUACGUAGGGGGCAAGCGUUAUCCGGAUUCAUUGGGCGUAAAGCGCUCGUAGGCGGUCUGUUAGGUCGGGAGUUAAAUCCGGGGGCUCAACCCCCGUUCGCUCCCGAUACCGGCAGACUUGAGUUUGGUAGGGGAAGGUGGAAUUCCUAGUGUAGCGGUGGAAUGCGCAGAUAUUAGGAAGAACACCAGUGGCGAAGGCGGCCUUCUGGGCCAUAACUGACGCUGAGGAGCGAAAGCUAGGGGAGCAAGCAGGAUUAGAUACCCUGGUAGUCCUAGCCGUAAACGAUGGACACUAGGUGUGGGGGAAUAUUUCUUCCGUGCCGC